AGCAACUAAAACAACGAAAAUAUGAAAACAUACCCUGGAAGACGGACGACACAGAUUGCACAAACACAUUGAAACAUUUCCAGCUGUUCACCAACACUGUUACAUUUUGUGCAAUUUUCAAUUGAAUGGGAGAACGCGUAAGAAAGAAAAGGAAAACUAUCGUUUUUCAGCUUAAAGAAACAUCAAUAUGUUAAAAGAGAAAAGGCGAUACACAAUUUUUCAAGAAAAAGAAUUAAUAAAAGAAGCUGGAAAAUGCGCAAUAGUUUGGUUAAUUUUGGCGUUUAAACAAAUUAACAAGCCGAAAAACAAUUAUUGAAGUAAGUUUACAAAAACGACUGGGCAUUGGUGGCCGUGAUAUCACACGAAAUCUGUUUAAACUACUUGCUGGUUAUACACUGCCUUUGAAACUGCAUAAUGAAGGAAAAGUUUUGCCAUAUCACCUAUGACAUCGAUAUGGAACAGUGAGCAGCGUUGGAAACCACUGUGCUUGAAACCAAUAGCUGUCAACUAACGAAUUUUACUAAUAUAAUAGGGGAAUUCUCUUGUACGAUGACACAAAAUGCAAAAAUCCUAUACCGAAAUAUGCAAAGCCAAGAGAGCACCCAUUGCAGAAUCCAGUGAUAUAUGAACGGCUGAUUCGGUCAAUUUAUUGAUGAAUUGGCGCACAUUCUGUAUUCAUUCUUAAGAAAAAACUGAAACAAUUUUUUUUAAUUUAAGUAGAAUUUAUAAAACCUAUUAAAACUUAUCAUCCU